rnacentral:rRNA from 1 species
GAUGAACGCUGGCGGCGUGCCUAAUACAUGCAAGUCGAGCGAACGGACGAGAACCUUGCUUCUCUGAUGUUAGCGGCGGACGGGUGAGUAACACGUGGAUAACCUACCUAUAAGACUGGGAUAACUUCGGGAAACCGGAGCUAAUACCGGAUAAUAUUUUGAACCGCAUGGUUCAAAAGUGAAAGACGGUCUUGCUGUCACUUAUAGAUGGAUCCGCGCUGCAUUAGCUAGUUGGUAAGGUAACGGCUUACCAAGGCAACGAUGCAUAGCCGACCUGAGAGGGUGAUCGGCCACACUGGAACUGAGACACGGUCCAGACUCCUACGGGAGGCAGCAGUAGGGAAUCUUCCGCAAUGGGCGAAAGCCUGACGGAGCAACGCCGCGUGAGUGAUGAAGGUCUUCGGAUCGUAAAACUCUGUUAUUAGGGAAGAACAUAUGUGUAAGUAACUGUGCACAUCUUGACGGUACCUAAUCAGAAAGCCACGGCUAACUACGUGCCAGCAGCCGCGGUAAUACGUAGGUGGCAAGCGUUAUCCGGAAUUAUUGGGCGUAAAGCGCGCGUAGGCGGUUUUUUAAGUCUGAUGUGAAAGCCCACGGCUCAACCGUGGAGGGUCAUUGGAAACUGGAAGACUUGAGUGCAGAAGAGGAAAGUGGAAUUCCAUGUGUAGCGGUGAAAUGCGCAGAGAUAUGGAGGAACACCAGUGGCGAAGGCGACUUUCUGGUCUGUAACUGACGCUGAUGUGCGAAAGCGUGGGGAUCAAACAGGAUUAGAUACCCUGGUAGUCCACGCCGUAGACGAUGAGUGCUAAGUGUUAGGGGGUUUCCGCCCCUUAGUGCUGCAGCUAACGCAUUAAGCACUCCGCCUGGGGAGUACGACCGCAAGGUUGAAACUCAAAGGAAUUGACGGGGACCCGCACAAGCGGUGGAGCAUGUGGUUUAAUUCGAAGCAACGCGAAGAACCUUACCAAAUCUUGACAUCCUUUGACAACUCUAGAGAUAGAGCCUUCCCCUUCGGGGGACAAAGUGACAGGUGGUGCAUGGUUGUCGUCAGCUCGUGUCGUGAGAUGUUGGGUUAAGUCCCGCAACGAGCGCAACCCUUAAGCUUAGUUGCCAUCAUUAAGUUGGGCACUCUAAGUUGACUGCCGGUGACAAACCGGAGGAAGGUGGGGAUGACGUCAAAUCAUCAUGCCCCUUAUGAUUUGGGCUACACACGUGCUACAAUGGACAAUACAAAGGGCAGCGAAACCGCGAGGUCAAGCAAAUCCCAUAAAGUUGUUCUCAGUUCGGAUUGUAGUCUGCAACUCGACUACAUGAAGCUGGAAUCGCUAGUAAUCGUAGAUCAGCAUGCUACGGUGAAUACGUUCCCGGGUCU